rnacentral:tRNA from 1 species
CUGGGGUUGGGGCUCAGUGGUAGAGCGCUUGCCUAGCAUGUGUGAGGCGCUGUGUUCAAUUCUCAGCACUACACG